rnacentral:pre_miRNA from 12 species
AUCGGCUAUGCGCUUUGGCAGUGUGGUUAGCUGGUUGUGUAGUUUUGAUUCACAGCCGCUAUCUUCACUGCCGCCGCGACAAGCCCCCA